UACGUAGGGGGCUAGCGUUGUCCGGAAUCAUUGGGCGUAAAGCGCGUGUAGGCGGUCCGGUAAGUCCGCUGUGAAAGUCGGGGGCUCAACCCUCGAAUGCCGGUGGAUACUGUCGGGCUAGAGUCCGGAAGAGGCGAGUGGAAUUCCUGGUGUAGCGGUGAAAUGCGCAGAUAUCAGGAGGAACACCUAUUGCGAAGGCAGCUCGCUGGGACGUAACUGACGCUGAGACGCGAAAGCGUGGGGAGCAAACAGG
rnacentral:rRNA from 1 species